CCAGAAAGGGACGGCUAANUACGUGCCAGCAGCCGCGGUAAUACGUAGNUCCCGAGCGUUGUCCGGAUUUAUUGGGCGUAAAGCGAGCGCAGGCGGUUAGAUAAGUNUGAAGUUAAAGGCUGUGGCUUAACCAUAGUACGCUUUGGAAACUGUUUAACUUGAGUGCAGAAGGGGAGAGUGGAAUUCCAUGUGUAGCGGUGAAAUGCGUAGAUAUAUGGAGGAACACCGGUGGCGAAAGCGGCUCUCUGGUCUGUAACUGACGCCGAGGCUCGAAAGCGUGGGGAGCGAACAGGAUUAGAUACCCUGGUAGUCCACGCCGUAAACGAUGAGUGCUAGGUGUUAGGCCCUUUCCGGGGCUUAGUGCCGCAGCUAACGCAUUAAGCACUCCGCCUGGGGAGUACGACCGCAAGGUUGAAACUCAAAGGAAUUGACGGGGGCCCGCACAAGCGGUGGAGCAUGUGGUUUAAUUCGAAGCAACGCGAAGAACCUUACCAGGUCUUGACAUCCCGAUGCCCGCUCUAGAGAUAGAGUUUUACUUCGGUACAUCGGUGACAGGUGGUGCAUGGUUGUCGUCAGCUCGUGUCGUGAGAUGUUGGGUUAAGUCCCGCAACGAGCGCAACCCUUAUUGUUAGUUGCCAUCAUUCAGUUGGGCACUCUAGCGAGACUGCCGGUAAUAAACCGGAGGAAGGUGGGGAUGACGUCAAAUCAUCAUGCCCCUUAUGACCUGGGCUACACACGUGCUACAAUGGCUGGUACAACGAGUCGCAAGUCGGUGACGGCAAGCUAAUCUCUUAAAGCCAGUCUCAGUUCGGAUUGUAGGCUGCAACUCGCCUACAUGAAGUCGGAAUCGCUAGUAAUCGCGGAUCAGCACGCCGCGGUGAAUACGUUCCCGGGCCUUGUACACACCGCCCGUCACACCACGAGAGUUUGUAACACCCGAAGUCGGUGAGGUAACCUUUUAGGA
rnacentral:rRNA from 1 species